UAGUCCACGCCGUAAACGAUGAUAACUAGCUGUCCGGGCUCAUAGAGCUUGGGUGGCGCAGCUAACGCAUUAAGUUAUCCGCCUGGGGAGUACGGUCGCAAGAUUAAAACUCAAAGGAAUUGACGGGGGCCUGCACAAGCGGUGGAGCAUGUGGUUUAAUUCGAAGCAACGCGCAGAACCUUACCAGCCUUUGACAUCCUAGGACGGUUUCUGGAGACAGAUUCCUUCCCUUCGGGGACCUAGUGACAGGUGCUGCAUGGCUGUCGUCAGCCCGUGUCGUGAGAUGUUGGGUUAAGUCCCGCAACGAGCGCAACCCUCGUCCUUAGUUGCCAUCAUUUAGUUGGGCACUUUAAGGAAACUGCCGGUGAUAAGCCGGAGGAGGUAAGGAUGACGUCAAGUCAGCAUGCCCCUUACGCCCUGGGCUACACACGUGCUACAAUGGUCGUGACAAAGGGUCGCUAAAUCUGCAAAGACAUGCUAAUCUCAUAAACACGGCCUCAGUUCGGAUUG
rnacentral:rRNA from 1 species